GAAAAUAAGCCUUCUGUAACUGUAUAAAACAGACUGGUUUGGUCGAAGUGUCACUCCCUGAAGCUGAAGUACCUGGACGAGAGAGAGACAGUGAGCAGGACUGUCAUCACCUAGCUUCAGAGAGCACCCUCUAUCUGUGACGCUCAGUUCCCGGCUGACCUUCAGCCAUGAAGAUCCUUUACUUGCUCUUUGCUGUUGUCUUCUUGGUGCUCAUGGAUGCCCCAGGUUUCUCCUAUGCUCUGUUGACCCGAAGAGGGUGUAGACGCAGAGGGGGUGAAUGUAACUUUUGGCGAUGUCCCAGCAAUGCUAUAUACAUUGACAAAUGCUAUUUUGGCCAUUGCUGUCGAAGGAGAGUGAUUGGCUGAUUGUCUAAGCAGGAUCUCAGGGAAUCGGGGAGACAGCCACUUGCUUCUAAAAUCAGCAGACCCUGCUUCAAUGGAACCCUGAACUCCUGCUGUUCAUUUGGGCUAUAAAGAACCUUGUGAGCUGGAGAAAUUUAAAAUGGAGCCCAUAUAAGAUUUGUUACUCUCCUUUGAAUAAAAGCAAGC